GUGGGGAAUCUUGCGCAAUGGGCGAAAGCCUGACGCAGCCAUGCCGCGUGGAUGAUGAAGGUCUUAGGAUUGUAAAAUCCUUUCACCGGUGAAGAUAAUGACUGUAGCCGGAGAAGAAGCCCCGGCUAACUUCGUGCCAGCAGCCGCGGUAAUACGAAGGGGGCUAGCGUUGCGCGGAAUUACUGGGCGUAAAGGGAGCGUAGGCGGACAUUUAAGUCAGGGGUGAAAUACCGAGGCUCAACCUCGGAACUGCCUUUGAUACUGGGUGUCUUGAGUGUGAGAGAGGUGAGUGGAACUCCGAGUGUAGAGGUGAAAUUCGUAGAUAUUCGGAAGAACACCAGUGGCGAAGGCGACUCACUGGCUCAUUACUGACGCUGAGGCUCGAAAGCGUGGGGAGCAAACAGGAUUAGAAACCCCGGUAGUCC
rnacentral:rRNA from 1 species